GGGCAGCGGGUCCACGCACCCGCAUCGGGGCGUGAUCCGCGGCAGCUGCUGGUUCCGCGACAGUGAGUUCAGCAUGUUCACCAUCACUUCGCGCUCUGCUCCCGCGGGUCCCCAGCGCAGGAGACCCAAAGACAGAUGCACAGGGAUGGGAAGAGGCCGAGUCACGGACAGAGUGAGGCGGAGACAAAAGCCAGGACGGAUAGAUUCAGGGUUCCACCCUCUCCAGGACCCUCGGCCUCCUCCCCGUCCUUCAGCCUGAAGUCAGUGGCUGGCAUCAGGAAGCAGAACUGGACAUGAAGUGGGGAAGAGCAAGGACAAACUGGAACUCAUGAGGAGAACAAAGUCGAAUUUGCAUCUGUCUCACUGCCUACAACAAUGAUGAUAUGGAUGGCCUUCAGGACAAGCUGGUGCCCUUUGCCAUGGAAUUGUACAUACACCUGGCCCAGGACCCAGAGAGGUUGAAGGAGAUCCAGUGGGAGCUAGAGGGGUUGUAGCCAAAUGCUGCUCUAUGGCAAUAAGGUGAACUACUAAAUCAGCAACAUUGUGCAUAAGGUGCCACAGUGCUUGGUACCCCACGUCAAUCUUCAGAGGGUAAAAAUGGCUGUUCUUUCAUUUAUUCUUUCCAAAUAUCAUGCAGAUUUCUCUCAUGGCCAAUUAGGAAACAUUUAGGAAAGGGAAUUCUUGCAAGUAUAGUUCCAGCUAGUUGACAGUACAAAACUAUGUCUUAUGCUCUCUUUAGAACAAUGGGAGAAUCUAGGAACACCUAACUCUGUCCUGUUCCAACUUAAAUGAUAGUUUUGUAAUAUUUUAGUUCUUCCUUUAAAUAUUACAGAUUAAAAGCCAUUAUAAUUAUUUUCUAUAGAUAACGUUUGCUUAAAUUUACCUCAUGUUUAUCAGUUCCUUACCAUUCCUUCUUGCAUCUCAGACUUUCCUUCUGUGAUCAUUUUCCUUCUCCCCAGAGUAUAUCCUUUAGAAGUUCCUUUAUUGUAUAUAGACCUGAGGGUAAUAAACAUUUUCAUUGUUUUCCUGUAAAUGUCUUAUCUUUCCUUGGUUUUUGAAAGGAUGACACUUCGAGAAUUUUUUUUCUUUGUCUGUUUUUAAGGUCAUCUCUUAAGCUGGUGAACUGCAGUUUCAUUGUGAGGUGCCUAACUGUGGAAUUUCUUCUAUUUUUUUUCUCUAUUUGUGGAUUCAUUUAUUUUGUUAGUUCUGGAAAAUUCUGAGCCUUUUUCUUUUUAAAUAAUAACUGUUCUUUAUGCUCUUUCCUUCUGAGAUUCCCAUUAGAUGUUUGUGGGAUCUUCUCAUUCUGUCUUUCAUAUCAUUUAAUGUUUCUUUCAUAUUUUCAUCUCUUUGUCUCUCUGUGCUGCGUUCUGGGAAAAUUUUUUCAGUCUAUUUUUCAUUUCACUGGACUUUUCAGCUGUGUUGACUCUACUCUUUAAUCCAUCUGCUGAAUUUUUGGUUUAGCAAAUACAUUUUUCAUUUCUAAAAAUUCUAUUCAGUUCCUUUUUACAUUUGCCUACUCAUUUUUUAAUAAUCUCUUAUUGCUUGCUUAUUUUAAUGAUUUCGUAUUUUUAUUUUUUAAAUAGAGACAAGGUCUCACUAUGUUGCCUAGGCUAGUCUUGAACUCUUGGCCUCAAGUGAUCUUCCUGUCUCAGCCUUCCAAAGUACUGGGAUUACUACAGGCAUGAGCCACUAUGCCUGGCCAGAUUUC
rnacentral:lncRNA from 10 species